GAUGAAGAACGCAGCGAAAUGCGAUAAGUAAUGUGAAUUGCAGAAUUCAGUGAAUCAUCGAAUCUUUGAACGCACAUUGCGCCCGCCAGUAUUCUGGCGGGCAUGCCUGUCCGAGCGUCAUUUCAACCAUCAAGCCCCGGGCUUGUGUUGGGGACCUGCGUCCGACGCAGGCCCCGAAAACCAGUGGCGGGCUCGCUGUCCACACCGAGCGUAGUAGCUAACCUCGCUCCGGAGUGUCGCGGGCGCCUGCCGUAAAACCCCCCAAUUUUACAAGGUUGACCUCGGAUCAGGUAGGAAUACCCGCUGAACUUAAGCAUAUCAAUAAGCGGAGGA
rnacentral:misc_RNA from 1 species